rnacentral:rRNA from 1 species
UGGGGAAUCUUGCGCAAUGGACGAAAGCCUGACGCAGCCAUGCCGCGUGAAUGAUGAAGGUCUUAGGAUUGUAAAAUUCUUUCACCGGGGACGAUAAUGACGGUACCCGGAGAAGAAGCCCCGGCUAACUUCGUGCCAGCAGCCGCGGUAAUACGAAGGGGGCUAGCGUUGCUCGGAAUUACUGGGCGUAAAGGGAGCGUAGGCGGACAUUUAAGUCAGGGGUGAAAUCCCGGGGCUCAACCUCGGAAUUGCCUUUGAUACUGGGUGUCUUGAGUAUGAGAGAGGUGUGUGGAACUCCGAGUGUAGAGGUGAAAUUCGUAGAUAUUCGGAAGAACACCAGUGGCGAAGGCGACACACUGGCUCAUUACUGACGCUGAGGCUCGAAAGCGUGGGGAGCAAACAGG